CCUACGGGCGGCUGCAGUGGGGAAUAUUGGACAAUGGGGGCAACCCUGAUCCAGCCAUGCCGCGUGUGUGAAGAAGGCACUCGGGUUGUAAAGCACUUUCAGUGAGGAAGAACGCCUGGUGGUUAAUACCCAUCAGGAAAGACAUCACUCACAGAAGAAGCACCGGCUAACUCCGUGCCAGCAGCCGCGGUAAUACGGAGGGUGCGAGCGUUAAUCGGAAUUACUGGGCGUAAAGCGCGCGUAGGUGGCUUGAUAAGCCGGUUGUGAAAGCCCCGGGCUCAACCUGGGAACGGCAUCCGGAACUGUCAAGCUAGAGUGCAGGAGAGGAAGGUAGAAUUCCCGGUGUAGCGGUGAAAUGCGUAGAGAUCGGGAGGAAUACCAGUGGCGAAGGCGGCCUUCUGGACUGACACUGACACUGAGGUGCGAAAGCGUGGGUAGCAAACAGGAUUAGAUACCCUAGUAGUC
rnacentral:rRNA from 1 species